GACUGAGCGCUAUUAAUUUAAAUGCGAUACGCGAAUUAUCGUGUACAGCUCGCGAAACCACAGGUUACCCUGUCAUCUGCCCAGAUUAGAAUGCUGAAUGAUUUUGUUUAUAGGUAACUGCUAUAAAACUUGGAGCCGAUGUUCCCAAUGGAGUAGCUGGGGGACUGGGCGAUUCUGGAAGACCUGCAAUGACAGGUGCAUUGAACUGGGUUACACUGGGGGUAGUUGUCAGUUGUGUCCAAGUACCUGCUGGAUGAGCGACAAAGCUUGGCAGUGCAGGUGUUAUGGAACUGGAUCGUGCUGAUUGAAGCCAGCUAAAGUGACCGGGAUCUUUCAAACAGUAGACUUACAUUGAAACAAAACGAUAGUGACAGAUCUAGAUUUUUUUUUUUACAUUGUAUAAUGCCCAAGGAAUCCCGGCUGGCUUAAAUAAAGGACAACUUGUCAAAAAAA